rnacentral:misc_RNA from 1 species
UGCUGAAUCCGGUGAACCAUCGAGUCUUUUAACACAAGUUGCGCCCGAAGCCGUCAGGCCAAGGGCACGUCUGCCUGGGCAUCACGCAUCACGUCGCCCCCCUCCAGCGCUUUGGUGCUCGUGUGGGGGUGGAGAAUGGCCUUCCGUGCGCCGCAACGUGUGGCUGGUCUAAAUACAUUCCCUCGGUGAUGCACGUCAUGACCAGUGGUGGUUGAUCAUCAACUCACGUGCUGUCGGGACUAGAGGCAUUUUCCAUGUGUGGAACAAACACAAGACCCAAAGGGUGCAUUCAUUGCAUUGUGCCUCCGACCGCAACUCCAGGUCAGGCGGGACUACUCGCUGAGUUUAAGCAUAUCAAUAAGCGAAGGAAAAGAAACUUACAAGGAUUCUCCUAGUAACGGCGAGCAAACCGGGAAUAGCCCAACUUGAGAAUCGGGCGGCCACGCCAUCCGA